UACGUAGGGGGCAAGCGUUGUCCGGAUUUAUUGGGCGUAAAGAGCGUGUAGGCGGCCUGACAGGUCUGCUGUGAAAACUCGAGGCUCAACCUCGAGAUGUCGGCGGAAACCGUCUGGCUAGAGUCCGGAAGAGGAGAGUGGAAUUCCUGGUGUAGCGGUGAAAUGCGCAGAUAUCAGGAAGAACACCUAUGGCGAAGGCAGCUCUCUGGGACGGUACUGACGCUGAUGCGCGAAAGCGUGGGGAGCAAACGGG
rnacentral:rRNA from 1 species